UUGCACGCUGGCGGCAUGCUUUACCCCUGCCAGUCGAACGGCAGCACAGGGAGCUUGCUCCUGGGUGGCGAGUGGCGAACGGGUGAGUAAUGUAUCGGAACGUGCCUGGUAGUGGGGGAUAACUACUCGAAAGAGUGGCUAAUACCGCAUGAGAUCUUUGGAUGAAAGCGGGGGACCUUCGGGCCUCGUGCUACUGGAGCGGCCGAUAUCAGAUUAGGUUGUUGGUGGGGUAAAGGCCUACCAAGCCUGCGAUCUGUAGCUGGUCUGAGAGGACGACCAGCCACACUGGGACUGAGACACGGCCCAGACUCCUACGGGAGGCAGCAGUGGGGAAUUUUGGACAAUGGGCGCAAGCCUGAUCCAGCAAUGCCGCGUGCAGGACGAAGGCCUUCGGGUUGUAAACUGCUUUUGUACAGAACGAAAAGUCUCUGGCUAAUAUCUAGAGAUCAUGACGGUACUGUAAGAAUAAGCACCGGCUAACUACGUG
rnacentral:rRNA from 1 species